GACGAACGCUGGCGGCGUGCCUAAUACAUGCAAGUCGAGCGAGACUCUUCGGAGUCUAGCGGCGGACGGGUGAGUAACACGUGGGCAACCUGCCUGUAAGACUGGGAUAACACCGGGAAACCGGUGCUAAUACCGGAUAAUCCCUUUCCUCUCAUGAGGGAAAGCUGAAAGUCGGUUUCGGCUGACACUUACAGAUGGGCCCGCGGCGCAUUAGCUAGUUGGUGAGGUAACGGCUCACCAAGGCGACGAUGCGUAGCCGACCUGAGAGGGUGAUCGGCCACACUGGGACUGAGACACGGCCCAGACUCCUACGGGAGGCAGCAGUAGGGAAUCUUCCACAAUGGACGAAAGUCUGAUGGAGCAACGCCGCGUAAGCGAUGAAGGCCUUCGGGUCGUAAAGCUCUGUUGUUAGGGAAGAACAAGUACCGGAGUAACUGCCGGUACCUUGACGGUACCUAACCAGAAAGCCACGGCUAACUACGUGCCAGCCGCCGCAGUAAGAC
rnacentral:rRNA from 1 species